AGAUGAAUGUCUUAACCUCGGGAAAGCUAAUUUUUGCUGAAGCUUUAGUUUUUUUCCCCAAGAUUAAGAAGGCUGUUGAUGAACACACAGACAGCAAGGCCCUUUAUGUAACUUAACGGACUUGGAGAUGGAAAAACAACGGUCCAGGAAAAGGAUCACCAACCUUGUCAAUAGAUGCUGAAAACAGAAUCUUAAUUUCUUGAAAAUCUUUUCCAUGAAUCUUUUUUUCAGCAAAAUGAUGAUAGUGUUAUAUUAGUAAAGAUGUUUUUAAAAAGUCA